GAGCAAGCUACAGACAGAGGCCACUGUGUCCUGGUGGAUUUGGAAGGAGUUGAGGUUUCAUCCUGAGAGCAGUGGGGAGCCAUGGGAGGCUUCAUAGCGAGGGGAGGGAAGGUCGGGGCUCUGUAAUAGAGAGGUCCUCUGGCUGCGCAUGUGCUGGAGGGACAGAAGCUGGAACCCUGGAGGCUGGAGAGGUCUCACUGCCGUCAUCAGGGGGACACCAGGUGGCGGGGAUAGGAGGGAAAAGGACAUCUUCACCGGCCUUCGGGAGUAGGCACUGCUCAGGAGUGUGAAGGGGGGCGCUGUGCUCAUCUGUGGAUCGAUCAGUGGAUGCGGUCAGAGCCCGGUGUAGUGUCAGGAGGCCCUUCCACCGCACCCUUCCUGCCUUCGAGCCAACUGAUCAUGGACUGGAACCUGUAGAAAUCUGAUCCUCCAGACCUUCAGGCUCCGUCCGCCGCUGGAUCCCUGCGCACACGGGUGACCAUUUCGGCAUCCUCCUCCUCGCAUGGCCGCUGGGACUCUUCCGGUUUGAUCCCGACAGCCUGCCUCACAAAUCCCGUCUCUAAGCACGCACGUUUUCUGUCGAAUCUGUUCCUCUGGAGAACCCCUAACUCAUACAGAUGUUCGUGUAUGUGUGCGUAUUUGCUCAGUUUCAGGUGCAAAAGACUGGACAGAUGCUUCAUGAAAAGGGACAGAUGGAUAGAUGUUGAGCAACAGCCCAUCCUCGGGAAAAUGGAAUGGAGAACCAUCACGUGAUACCCUCCACACACCCACCAGAAUGGCUGAAGCCAGGCAUUCUGACAGCUCCAAGUGUUGGCAGAAUUACAGAGCAAUGGGAAGUUUGUUGUUGCUGGUGCAGGCCAGUCUGGGGUCCAGGACUGAGAGCAGCUGCCCUCUUCCCCACGGGACCUGCAGUUGCAUCCCCUGCUCAGCUCACCCCAGGCUCCCCAGAACAGCCUGUGGAGUGGACACAGACCUCGCUGCCCCAGUCGGCACUGGCCUCCUGAAACCCAGUCUUGCUGCAGCCCUUGCAGCCUAUGGAAUGCGUGCCAACGCAUUGGAUGUUUUGAGUGAAAGUGGCUGUGGAAUGGUUUCCUUUGCUUACUCCUUCCCCGAAUGUGGCUGUUGGAUUAAGAGAAUGUUGGCUGUCACGUGGAGGGAGCUUCUGGGAGUGUGGCCUGGGGGGUGAUGAGUCUCCAGCCGCCUUCCUGUGGAUCCUGGGGCCGUGCUGCUCGACUGAGGACAGCAAUGUGGUGACUGUGGUUUCCCAGACAGGGCUUCUGAGCCAGGCCCAGCACAGGGACCUAGGGUGGCUGUGGCCGGGACUUCCCAGAGCUCAGCCCCCCGGUGCGCUCCAGCGAGUCCCACCUUUAAAACACACUCAUACAACCAUUGUCACAGUUACCAAGACAUGGGCUGCAUGCCAGACCUGGGCCAGGCAGUUACAAAGGCCGUUUUCUGUCUUCCAUGCUAGUGUAUGCAGGGUGGAGUUCACUUUGUGAAG
rnacentral:lncRNA from 1 species